CCCCACCCCGCCGCCCCGAACCGCUGGCGCUCGUUCUCGUGACAACAGAAAACUUGGCGCCCGGCUUCCCAGCUUGCAAACGGUUAAGUGGCUUCCUGCAAACGCUAGAGUCCCAGCAACCAGCCUUCCAAUCGAAACUUGAGUAUCUCAACUCCCCGUUUCUGCUGCAUGUUAACACAGACGCACCAAGUCAGAGGCGCCAACCAAGACAGGAUGCUUGCUGGAGGGAAGAUGCUGAUUUUUGAAGUGGCAAACAAAUGUUCAAUGUACCACUCAGUAAGACGAGCAGAUCGAGGAAGUCCCUCCGGUCUAAAAAUUCAAUCAACUUGCCCAGGAAGCACAGGUCUGAGCAUUGCAUCAGGUGCUCACUGGCCUUCCAGAUACCUCUCAGCCUCUGCAUGGGUCAGAAACACAUAAUGUAUAACCCCCAGGAGUGACACAAGGCCUCCCACCCACUUCUCUUCUUCUGCGUAUUUAGGGAAGCACAAUUUCCAGGGCAAGGUGACAUUACUUUGCUCCGGGGGAAUGAAAUUUAGCAUUCAACUGUGGAGUUGAAUCCAGAGCUGAACCUGGAAGGCUGGGUAAAAUUUGAAUGGAUUAUUAGGAGGAAAUUUGAAUACUAUUUUAAUGAAAUAUGAUGGCAUUUAAGUACAUACACAUUGUGAAUUAAAUACACGUUCUUGGAUGCCUAUAACUUCUUAUCAAAAGCACACUUAAUCCCAAGUUCUCAUUAGGAAGCUGAUAAGCACCCUAUUUCCUUCUAUUCCAGCAAUGAUGAUUCCCCAGCUAGACAAAAUUUACAAACUGCUUUGGAAGCAUCUGUGGAGAAAGGUGCCAUAUGAAUGUAUGAGAUUAUUGAAAUAAAUGCUGAUUUAGAGAUUUCCCAGGUGGAUAGUUAAAAUAUACUGGGGCACACACAUAUCCUCAUACCCCACACUCAGGGUACUUUCUGCUCUGAUCAGCGGGGAUAAAUUUCCCUACUUGACAGUUGACUGUAAAUCAAGAAGUGUGUUUUAAUAGUCACUGGCUUUGUGCUGCUGUCUCAGGCAAUCCUUCACCUCCUGGGACACAGGACCUGAAGGAUCUUGGCACUUUCUCUCCACUGCACAUGGAGAGGCGGUGCUUAGCAGCAAGGUAA